rnacentral:rRNA from 1 species
AACGAACGCUGGCGGCAUGCCUAACACAUGCAAGUCGAACGGGAUCUUCGGGUCUAGUGGCGCACGGGUGCGUAGCGCGUGGGAAUCUGCCCUUUGGUUCGGAAUAACAGUUGGAAACGACUGCUAAUACCGGAUGAUGACGAAAGUCCAAAGAUUUAUCGCCAGAGGAUGAGCCCGCGUAGGAUUAGCUAGUUGGUGUGGUAAAGGCGCACCAAGGCGACGAUCCUUAGCUGGUCCGAGAGGAUGAUCAGCCACACUGGGACUGAGACACGGCCCAGACUCCUACGGGAGGCAGCAGUGGGGAAUAUUGGACAAUGGGCGAAAGCCUGAUCCAGCAAUGCCGCGUGAGUGAUGAAGGCCUUAGGGUUGUAAAGCUCUUUUACCCGGGAUGAUAAUGACAGUACCGGGAGAAUAAGCUCCGGCUAACUCCGUGCCAGCCGCCGCCGUAC